CUCCCCUCUCUUGAACGCCGGCGACCCCACGCCACGCAGAGGUGAGGAUACGCAGGACGUCCUGUAAUGCCACUUCCGUGGGUGCUAGGUUAGAAGCUGGGGCGGUGCUGACCUUGAGAGCGCGCGAGGGAGGCGCAGGCGCAGCACAGCAGAGCAACUGGAGAACCUAAUUCUGACCAACAAGGAGGAAUUGCCUGGCUAAUUGGAAGUGACAGAAACCUUGGGAGAAAGCAACCACAUACCAAGGAUAAUUAUAAGAAGGGCUUAUUGCAGGCUUUGGAGCAGAAUGCUAGUGGGGGAGCACAAAUGAGGCCUGAGAACAACUAUCCCCAUCAUUGAGGAAUUAUGGGAAACAACAGGUGCUAGAACACGAAACAUGGACAAAUGUCUGCCUUCAAGCUCAUAAAUUUUCAAAAAAUUAACAAGGGCUUAAGCACCCAAAGGAGGAAAUACAAAUAGCCAAUAAAGAUAUAAAAACAAAUUUUAAAAAUGCAUUCUCAACUACAAGCAAAUCGAGACAACAAAUUUAAAGAAAAUAAAUAAUAGUAUUCCAUGUUUGCAAAGAUGUGGUGAAAUGGACACUUACCUACCACUGGAGUAAAUAUAAAAUGACCAUUUCAGCCCAAUGUCAAGAAACUUUGUAACAGAACUGGCCAAAAAAAAAAAAAAGAGAGAGAGAGAGUGAGUUCACAGUCACUUGAAGGAUUCAAGCAUAAAUUGUCACCUACUUGAUUGGACAUUAUAGAAGAGCUUCAAGCAUCAGAAGUGUGGUUUUUGUAUGAUUCCUGCUGUGUGAGAAAUCAUUUAACCUCUCUGAUACACCAUUCUCUGUAAAAUGGGGAAGUUCAACUGAAAUACCUUCAGUGCCUUUUGAGUUUUAAAUCGUUUGAGUAUCCAUUGGUGUAAUUACAUUUUGUCUGUCUUUUCCAGAUUUACAUAAUAUCGGCCUUUUAUCACUUGAAAUACAUCACACCACACUUGUGAGAAUUAAUUGAAUAUUUGUAAAAAUGCAAAACACCAUGUAAGACAUCCUUACAGUCCAACAUCAUUGGCCAUUGGGAAAAUGCAAAUUAACACCAAAAUGAGAUACCACCACACACCUGUUAGAAUGGUCAGCUAAAAUUAAAAAUAUUUAUGAUACCAAGUAUUGACAAGAUGUGGAGCAACUGUAUCUCUUUGCUGGUGGAAAUGUAAAAUAAUACAGUUACUCUAGAAAACAGUUUGGCAGUUUCUCACAAAGUUAAACAUACAUUUACCAUAAGACCCAGUAAUCUAACUACUGGGUAUUUAUUCUAGAAAAAUGAAAAUGUAAGUUUGCACAAAAAUCUAUGUAUAGAUUUUUAUAUCAACUCUAUGUGACAGCCCAAAACUGGAAGCCACUCAGAUGUCCUCUGAUGGGUAAAUAAAUACACUGUGGUACAUCUAUAUCAUGGAAUACUAUUCAGCAAUAAAAAGGAACAAACUAUCAACACACACAAAACAACUUACAUGUAUCUCAAGGCCAUUAUACCGACUGAAAAAAAGCCAAUAUCAAAAGAAUAUAUAUGAUAUAAUUCCAUUUCUACAACAUCCUCAAAAUGGCAAAAUUAUAGUGAUGUAGAACACAUCAGUGGUGCCAGGGGUUAGAGUUGGAGGGAAGGUGCAACUAUAAAGGGAUAGCAGGAGGGAAUUACUCUGGGGGAAUGGGAUAGUUUUAUAUCCUAAUUGUGGUGAUCACUACAUUAAUCUAGUACAUGCGAUAAAUUUUAUAGAACUAGACAAACACACAGAAAUCUAUGUUUAUCUUCAAGUUUCUGGAAAGCAAGGAAAUUUGUAUCUACAUUCACUUUUUGUUUUCAUUGACUUUUUUAUGUUUAGCUGUCUUAUAAUCAAUACUGCGAAAUGUUUCUCAUACGAAACAUGUUUCGUGUUGAAGAAUGCCAUAGCAAAAAGGGUGUGAGGUGUACUUACUUGAUAGUAAUUUUACUCCUUUUCUUUAAAGGAGUAAAUGGUCAAUGCAAAAGUAAAUUCAGGCAAAGUCCCUUUUUAUUUACAUUUUAUUCUUGUUUUUAAAUUUUACAAUCACAUUUUCAAAGAAGCCUCUGGAAAAGAUUUUUACAUAAAUUUUCACAGCUCACUCAAUUGUGAUAUACUUUUUUACUAUUUAUCUUAUGACUAAAGAGACUAUCCAUACCUUACCAGGUUCUAUUUUAGCUGCUGAUUCUUUUUAUACUUAACUAAAUUUAUUUCUAUUCAAAUUUCCUGAUAAACACAGGAGCUUAAAAUUAAUUCCUGUGCUAGGAUAAAAUCUAUACAUAGAGUCUGUCUCAAGAGUGAAAUUUUCUUAUAAGAUGACCCUUAUGGAUACUAAAAUAUUAGCCUCUCUUAGAUAGUAUCUAAGACUGUCCUUGUGACUGAUACUACCAAUGGUCACCAAUAUUUUCCAUUCUCUUCCCUUUUCUGGAUAUGUAAAAUGUUAUAUUUCUUAGUUUUAUUGAUAGACAAUGGCCAGAGCUGCUGUGUCACUUCCAGUGCAUGAUUCACCAUGCUGUCUAUCCUGGCACAAAGAAUGAAGCAUCAAAAUGAGAUGGAGAUAUCAGAAGAAGAAAGUGAUCUUGAAUGUUGAGCUACUACACGAGGGGCUGCCAUGGAGAAAUUCCUAGACUCUUAGCAGAUUAGCCUGAGAAAGGCACCAAGAUUUGAUCCCUGAAGCAUCCUGUAUCCAGCUCUUGAUUCAAUGGAUUCUGGCCACUUGAAAGGAUUCUAAGUAUUGCUGCAUCUACCUUAAGUGAACCUUUCAUGGGAAAGAGAAAGACUGGAAUGAAGCAGAUCUGAGUCCAAAUUCCAAUGAGGAGGACAGUACAAAGUUCAGAAGAGUUGCUUAGCACCAACCAACUAAGAGGUGAAAGAGGCAACAUUCCCAAAUCACAGCAAAUUUCAGUUUAUAUGUUUAGAACUCCAAAAUAAAUGACCUCUGAGCAAAUCAGAUGGCACUGCAGUCAAGGUAAAUCCUAGAAGGUUCGGAUGGGGUCUUUUUCCAAAGCUCUCAUAUUGAGUCAUCUAUCCAGCAAUUACUGAGUGACUGUGAUGUGUCAGGAAAUGUGCUGUGUUCCAGGACUACCAAAAUGAGUGAGACAAGGCUCUAGACUCAAGGAUUUUAUGUCAUUUUGCUGCCACAAGAGAAACUACUUUAGGAUGAAGAUGACAAUGUAGAAGACAGAGAAGAGAGAGCAACAAAAUAAAACAAACAACCCUUGUUUUAAUAUCCUUGAGUCACUGAAUCAAACCAGUCCUGAAGCCCACUCUAUCUAUAUUACUUCACAAUCGGUGUUCCCAUCAAACACUGUUAUGGAUGGAUAUCCAGAUCAAGUGGGUGUUUACCUGACUGCUACAAUCAAGAUGCUGCAAACUGGUGGUAAACUAGUCUGGGGCAGCUGCUCAGAAUGGCAGGAAUAGCUCUACUACUUGCAUUUAUGCAGGACCCUAGGCUACUUCCACCUUCUGGAUCCACUAUCUCCUAGGGCCGCCUCCUCAUCUGCAUCCAGAUGCAAAAGGGAAAAGUCCCUGGAGAAGCAUGGACCUGACCAGGGAGAGGUAUGUACUUCUUCCAUUCAAGUUCCAUGCACUAACC